ACGCUGGCGGCGUGCCUAAUACAUGCAAGUCGAGCGGACAGAUGGGAGCUUGCUCCCUGAUGUUAGCGGCGGACGGGUGAGUAACACGUGGGUAACCUGCCUGUAAGACUGGGAUAACUCCGGGAAACCGGGGCUAAUACCGGAUGGUUGUUUGAACCGCAUGGUUCAAACAUAAAAGGUGGCUUCGGCUACCACUUACAGAUGGACCCGCGGCGCAUUAGCUAGUUGGUGAGGUAAYGGCUCACCAAGGCRACGAUGCGUAGCCGACCUGAGAGGGUGAUCGGCCACACUGGGACUGAGACACGGCCCAGACUCCUACGGGAGGCAGCAGUAGGGAAUCUUCCGCAAUGGACGAAAGUCUGACGGAGCAACGCCGCGUGAGUGAUGAAGGUUUUCGGAUCGUAAAGCUCUGUUGUUAGGGAAGAACAAGUACCGUUCGAAUAGGGCGGUACC
rnacentral:rRNA from 1 species